rnacentral:rRNA from 1 species
UACGGGGGGAGCAAGCGUUGUUCGGAUUUACUGGGCGUAAAGGGCGCGUAGGCGGCGCAACAAGUCACUUGUGAAAUCUCCGGGCUUAACUCGGAGCGGCCAAGUGAUACUGUCGUGCUAGAGUGCGGAAGGGGCUACUGGAAUUCUCGGUGUAGCGGUGAAAUGCGUAGAUAUCGAGAGGAACACCAGUGGCGAAGGCGGCUCACUGGACCGGUUCUGACGCUGAGGCGCGAGAGCGUGGGGAGCGAACGGG